rnacentral:SRP_RNA from 1 species
GGGCUAGGUGGCACCUGCUUGUUGCCCUAGCAACUUGGGAGGCUGAGGCAGGAAAAUUGCUUGAGCUCAAGAGUUCUGGGCUUUAGUAAGCUAUGCCAAUCAGAUAUCUGCACUAAGUAUAUCUGAUUAUAUUUAAUAUACAGGGACCUCCAGGGAACCAGGUUGCCUAAGGAGUGGUGAACUGGCCUAGGUCAGAAAGAGAGCAGGUUAAAACUUCUGUGCUGAUCAGUAGUGGGAUCACAAUCAUGAAUAGCCACUGCACUUCAGCCUGGGCAAUGUAGAAAGACACUGUCUCU